GAACGGUAACAGGUUAAGCUGACGAGUGGCGAACGGGUGAGUAAUGUAUCGGAACGUGCCCAGUCGUGGGGGAUAACUGCUCGAAAGAGCAGCUAAUACCGCAUACGACCUGAGGGUGAAAGCGGGGGAUCGCAAGACCUCGCGCGAUUGGAGCGGCCGAUAUCAGAUUAGGUAGUUGGUGGGGUAAAGGCCUACCAAGCCUACGAUCUGUAGCUGGUCUGAGAGGACGACCAGCCACACUGGGACUGAGACACGGCCCAGACUCCUACGGGAGGCAGCAGUGGGGAAUUUUGGACAAUGGACGCAAGUCUGAUCCAGCCAUGCCGCGUGCGAGAAGAAGGCCUUCGGGUUGUAAACCGCUUUUGUCAGGGAAGAAAAGGGUGUUUCUAAUAAAGACGCCUCAUGACGGUACCUGAAGAAUAAGCACCGGCUAACUACGUG
rnacentral:rRNA from 1 species